CAGCCGCCGCGGGAAUACGGAGGGGGCUAGCGUUGUUCGGAAUUACUGGGCGUAAAGGGCGUGUAGGCGGCCUGGGGCGUCCCAUGUGAAAGGCCACGGCUCAACCGUGGAGGAGCGUGGGAUACGCUCAGGCUAGAGGGUGGGAGAGGGUGGCGGAAUUCCCGGAGUAGCGGUGAAAUGCGCAGAUACCGGGAGGAACGCCGAUGGCGAAGGCAGCCACCUGGUCCACUUCUGACGCUGAGGCGCGAAAGCGUGGGGAGCAAACCGGAUUAGAUACCCCGGUAGUCCCUGUCUCUUAUAC
rnacentral:rRNA from 1 species